rnacentral:rRNA from 1 species
UACGUAGGAGGCGAGCGUUAUCCGGAUUUACUGGGCGUAAAGCGCGUGCAGGCGGUCUGGUAAGUUGGAUGUGAAAGCUCCUGGCUCAACCGGGAGAGGUCGUUCAAUACUGCCAGACUCGAGGACGGUAGAGGAGGGUGGAAUUCCCGGUGUAGUGGUGAAAUGCGCAGAUAUCAGGAAGAACACCAAUGGCGAAGGCAGCUCUCUGGGACGGUACUGACGCUGAGACGCGAAAGCGUGGGGAGCGAACAGG